rnacentral:rRNA from 1 species
GUGUGAGAAGGGCAUUCGGUGGAUGCCUUGGCGACAAGAGGCGAUGAAGGACGUGAUACGCUGCGAUAAGCCAUGGGGAGCUGCGAAUAAGCUUUGAUCCGUGGAUUUCCGAAUGGGGAAACCCACUCCGUAUGGAGUACCCGCAAGGGAGCAAACCCGGGGAACUGAAACAUCUAAGUACCCGGAGGAAAGGAAAUCAAUAUGAUACUCCCCUAGUAGCGGCGAGCGAACGGGGACCAGGCCUGGUCUGAAAUAAAGCAAAGCAUCUGGAAAGUUGCGCCAUAGUGGGUGAUAGCCCCGUAGCUGUAAAAUGAAGACCUUUUUGAGUAGGGCGGGACACGUGAAAUCCUGUCUGAACAUGGGGGGACCACCCUCCAAGCCUAAGUACUCCUUACCGACCGAUAGUGAACUAGUACCGUGAGGGAAAGAUGAAAAGUACCCCGAUUAGGGGAGUGAAACAGUACCUGAAACCGGAUGCUUACAAGCAGUUGGAGCCCCAUAGGGGGUGACAGCGUACCUCUUGCAUAAUGGGUCAGUGACUUAAUGUAUCGUGCGAGCUUAAGCCGUUAGGUGUAGGCGAAGCGAAAGCGAGUCUGAAUAGGGCGACUGAGUACGAUGUAUUAGACCCGAACCCCGGCGAUCUAGGCAUGAGCAGGUUGAAGGUGCGGUAACACGCACUGGAGGACCGAACCGUUGCAUGUUGAAAAAUGCUCGGAUGACUUGUGUUUAGGGGUGAAAGGCCAAUCAAGCCGGGAAAUAGCUGGUUCUCCGCGAAAUCUAUUGAGGUAGAGCGUCAGAUGUAUGCCGAUGGGGGUAGAGCACUGGAUGGGCUAGGGCUGCGCGAGCGGUACCAAACCUAACCAAACUCCGAAUACCAUCGAGUCUUGUCUGGCAGACAGACGGCGGGUGCUAAGGUCCGUCGUCAAAAGGGAAACAGCCCUAACCUACAGCUAAGGUCCCCAAGUCAUAUCUAAGUGGGAAAGCAUGUGGGAAUCCCAAAACAACCAGGAGGUUGGCUUAGAAGCAGCCAUCCUUUAAAGAAAGCGUAAUAGCUCACUGGUCUAAACAAGCCGGCCUGCGCCGAAGAUGUACCGGGGCUCAAGCCACCCACCGAAGCUGAGGAUGCAUGUCUUUGACAUGCGUGGUAGCGGAGCGUUCCGUAGGCCUGUGAAGGGGUCCUGUAAGGGGUCCUGGAGGUAUCGGAAGUGAGAAUGCUGACAUGAGU